UAGCCAGGUCUAUUUCCCCUCCAUUUUGGAAAUAAUAUUACAUUAGUGCUUGAAGCAGCUCUUUUGGGAAAUAAUGCUGAUGACUCAACAGUGAAAGCAAGACAUUAGGACAUUGGUGGUUCUCUCUGUCUGGCAGUCCAAAGUGUGAUUGUGGAAAAAAUACCAUGAAUUAUGGAGGACUAUCUUCGGUGUGUUAGUGUAAGGGCACUCGAAGACUACAUGUCUUGACCACGAUGAAUAUGACUGUACCUAAGCAUCUCUGUGAUAACCUAUGAUUUUUUUUCCUUGGGAGCAAUGUCAUCUUUUGUGGCACGAGAGCUGUUCCCUCAGACUGUGGAAGGCACUUCAGUCUUGACCAUGGAUAUUCUCGCUAAGAAGUUUCGGGAGCAGACGUUGGAAGAAUCCAACAAACAAAAUUCAUCACAAAUUAAAUUUAUCCGUCCCGGGGAAGGUUUUAGACUUAGUCGCAAUGCUGAAGCCAGGCUGGCAGGGGCAG